rnacentral:rRNA from 1 species
CCUACGGGUGGCAGCAGUGGGGAAUAUUGCACAAUGGGGGAAACCCUGAUGCAGCGACGCCGCGUGAGUGAAGAAGUAAUUCGUUAUUUAACGCUUUAUCAGCAGGGGAGAAAAUGACGCUACCUGAGUAAGAAUCCGCGUCUAACUACGGGCCAGCAGGCGCGGUAAUAUGUAGGGGGCCAGCGUUAUCCGGAUUUACUGGGUGUAAAGGGAGCGUAGUCGGAAGUGCAAGUCUGGCGUGAAAAGCGGGGGCUCAACCCCCGGACUGCUCUGGAAACUGUACGGCUGGAGUGCAGGAGAGGUAAGUGGAAUUCCUGGUGUAGCGGUGAAAUGCAUAGAUAUUAGGAGGAACACCGAUGGCGAAGGCAGCUUACUGGACUGUAACUGACGUUGAGGCACGAAAGCGUGGGGAGCAAACAGGAUUAGAUACCCGAGUAGUC